GUAAUAUCCACGGCUGCCUACCCGGAGAAUCCGAAUCAGGCCCGCUUUAGCUGUUGGUUUCGCUUUCUCUUCUCAUCUCUAGUGGCAGCGUCCAGGCUUAGCUUGCGUUUCGCUUCUUUAAGCUAUUUUGUACGAUAGGGAAAUUGGGAGAAUGCUGAAUCACUUGACAUAAAGAAAAAUUAGGUGGAACCAGGACAUAACCUUUUGGUCCCCAUGCCAAAAUGCCCUCUAUACGACAGUUCCAUCUUCAAGACAUCAACCAGGUUAACAACUACUUUUAUAUGAUCCUAAGCAAGUUCCCUUUUCAUUUUGCACACUUUCAUUUUUCAGUUCUUACAAUUCCACCGAAUGGAAUUAUUGGAACUGAACCCCAAAACAACAAUGACCAGAAUAACCAUCUUCAAAACAGUAAUCAACCUGAGUCCUCAAUAUCUGAUAAAAUCUUCAAUUCAGCUCCAAAAAUGGGUUCUUACAAGCUGGGUGAUUCAACAUUUUACUCGCUCAUUGAAAACUAUGCCAAUUUGGGUGAUUUUAAGUCAUUGGAGAAUGUUUUGGAUCGAAUGAGACUUGAAAACAGAGUCUUUACAGAAAGGAGUUUUGUUCUUAUGUUUAAGGCUUACGGGAAAGCUCAUUUACCUGAAAAGGCCAUUGAAUUAUUUGAUAAAAUGUGCUAUGAAUUUCAGUGUAAACGAACGGUAAAGUCAUUUAACUCGGUUCUUAAUGUUAUUAUACAAGAGGGCCUUUACAAUCGUGCUAUGGAGUUCUAUAAUUAUGUUGUUGGUGCGAGACACAUGAAUAUAUCACCUAACUUACUUAGCUUUAAUUUGGUUAUCAAGGCUAUGUGUAAGCUUGGAUUGGUUGAUGAAGCAAUUGAGGCAUUUAGAGAGAUACCAAUUAGGAAAUGUGUACCUGAUUCUUACACUUACUGUACAUUGAUGGAUGGGCUUUGCAAGGAGGAUAGGAUUGAUGAGGCGGUUUCUUUGUUAGAUGAAAUGCAAAUUGAGGGGUGUUUUCCUAGUCCAGUUAUGUUUAAUGUGUUGAUUAAUGGGUUAUGCAAGAAGGGUGAUUUAACACGGGUGACAAAGCUUGUUGACAAUAUGUUUCUUAAAGGUUGUGUUCCUAAUGAAGUGACCUAUAACACACUUAUUCAUGGUUUGUGCUUGAAGGGGAAUUUGGAUAAAGCACUUAGUCUUUUGGAUCGGAUGGUUCUGAGUAAAUGUGUGCCUAAUGAAGUCACAUAUGGAACAAUCAUUAAUGGGCUUGUUAAGCAAGGAAGAGCUCUUGAUGGGGUUCGUGUGUUACUUUUGAUGGAAGAAAGAGGACAUCAUGUGAAUGAGUAUGUUUGUUCAGUGCUAGUUAGUGGGUUGUUUAAGGAGGGAAAGUGUCAGGAGGCAAUGAAAUUGUUCAAGGAGUCGGUAGAGAAAGGAUGCAAACUCAACACUAUUCUAUACAGUGCUCUUGUAGAUGGUUUGUGUCGAGAGGGAAAGCCAGAUGAAGCAAUGCAAAUUCUUUAUGAGAUGGCAAAUAAGGGUUGCAAACCCAAUGCUUUCACUUAUAGCUCCUUGAUGAAGGGAUUCUUUGAGACAGGUAAUAGCCAUAAAGCCAUUGAAGUGUGGAGAGACAUGGAAAAGAAUAAUUGUAUUCAGAAUGAGGUUUGUUAUAGUGUACUAAUUCAUGGGCUAUGCAAGAAUGGGAAUGUCAAGGAGGCAAUGAUGGUGUGGGAACAAAUGUUGGGGAAAGGAUGUAGGCCUGAUGUUGUGGCUUAUAGUUCAAUGAUACAUGGCCUUUGCAAGGUUGGGUUGAUAGAAAAGGCUUUAAAACUUUAUAAUGAGAUGCUUUGUUUGGAAUCUCAUUAUCAACCGGAUGUGAUCACAUAUAACAUACUUUUCAACGCUUUAUGUAAGCAGAGUAGCAUCUCUCAUGCUGUUGAUAUUCUAAAUAGAAUGCUGGAUCAGGGAUGCGAUCCUGACUUGGUUACGUGCAACAUAUUCUUGAGAAUGUUGCGAGAAAAGCUAGACCCACCUCAAGAUGGGCAGGAGUUUCUAGAUGAGCUUGUGGUUCGCCUACUAAAGAGGCAGAGAAUUUUAGGUGCUUCUAAGAUUGUAGAAGUGAUGUUGCAGAAGUUUUUGCUACCAAAAGCCUCUACUUGGGCAAGAGUUGUUCAAGUUCUAUGUAAAUCUAAGAAGAUUCAAGCAGUCAUUGACAAGUGUUGGAGCAACCUAUAUUGCUAAUGCAUUAAGUGUACAUAUCUUUUAUACUUUUACUGUGCAAAACUUACUUAGAUUCAAAUACCAUGUGAUUUUGGUUCAAUAACCUGGAUAUCAAACCCUAUUUCCUCCAUCACUUUGAGAGUGGUAUUAUAUGUGUUUGCACAUGUAUCAGUGUUUGUUGGCAUACUUAUUAUGUAUGUGCAUAGAUGUGGGUAUACAAAACAAUCAUUUAUAUGUUUCUUUUUGCAUUAUCAUUGGAUGGUUGGGGGUGUACAUGUAUAUAUGUAUAUGGUAGUUGUGUGCUGUGUAGGCUAUUUUAUUGUUUCACCGCAGAGUAAUCAGCUCUAUUGCAAAGAAGGCUUGCAGAAUGUGUAGGUGGAGCUCACUAAGAACAUGCAUUCACUUCUUUCUAGAUUAGGGAGCUACCUUCUAAUUGUAAACCAUAUUUCCAUAAUGUAUCUUUAGGUAAAAAGUAUUUGAACACAAGUCCUGAUGUAAAAUAUUGGAAAAGAGAGUGUGAAAGAUAAAUGAAAUAGGGAUGAGUUCUUGUGGAGCCGUUCAACUUUGAGGAUCGUCAAAUUUAGUUCUCUAACUUAGAUUCUUCUUGCACUAUUGAAACCAAUCUAAACAAUUUUCUAGGGGAUAUGGAGAAGAUUGAGCAUUACUCUUAAAUAUAAUGAGGAGUCCUCGAAGUUUAAACAAUUUGCUAAUUAAGUUCUCCAACAUUUUUGUGUUCGAAAUGGAGUACUGUAACUUUCCAAUACAACUAAACUGUAACUUUCCAAUACAACUAAUGUGCCCUAAAUUUGUGUUUAUUUAGAAUGUAUUCGGGGUUUGUAAUAUUGAUUCUUCAUGGCAAAAAGAUUAGGCAGAGUGGAAAAAGUGGAAGCUUCAAAAAUAAGAAAGGACCUAGAAUGAAGAUUUCAUUUUUUGCAGCUCAACUCUGUUAUCAGUGCAUUUUUAAGGCAAUACGUCUACAACUUGGUUUUUGAGUUCUUAUGUUGUUUGAGAUGCAUAAAAUUGAUGAAGAAUUGAGAAUGUCUUAUUUUAUUUUACAACUUCAAGAUGAUAAAUUCUCAAAUUAGGAGUAGAUGAACUUGUUGCUGGAUGCACACCAUCUCUUGGCCAUAAAUUUCAAUUAUCAUUCUUUUUUUUUUU
rnacentral:misc_RNA from 1 species